CUCCCUUCUCUUUCCCCAGACAGCAGCCCGAGCCUCAAGGUCCAGCGCCGCCGCCAGGGGUCCGGCCGGCCGCCGGCCACGCUCGGCAGCACCGCCGCACCCUAGAUGCGCCGCCGGCCGGGAUCUGGACGCUGCCUCCUCAUGGCCUGCGCCAGCCCGGUCACCUGCGGCGUCAAGUCUGCGUGCCCGAGCGCCCCUCCCAGGCCCACGCGCGCGGGUCCGGACGCCUCCUGAUGCGCCGGGUCACCGCCGGCCGGAGCCUCUGCGCCACGCAGCGGGCGCCGCCCGUCCUCAUGCGCCGCGCCGCGCUGCGUGGACCCCGAGCCUCGCGGGACGCGCGCUUCCUCAUGCGCCGCCGCGGGCGCUCGGGCCCUGGCCUCGGCACCGCCCUGGAGAGGGCGAGCGUCUAGCUACUGCCAUCUCCGCUCAACUCCAGCCAACCUGCGGGCUCAGCCAUUACGCUCUGCCAUGCCACCAAGUAGCAGCCUCCCCUGCGCCCUGCUUUGCAAGUCUGCAUCUCAGGUGACGGGCUAUUUGAUAAGGCAAUGACCAUCAGUAGUGUUUCUAAAUGCCUCGCCCUUUCACAGAAUCUUCUUCUGAUCAACUUUACUUUAGAUAAGCUUUGUGCUUUGAGAUUUCAUUACAUGGAAACUAAAUUCCGAUGGUGUUAGUGUUUACAGAUGCAAAUUGACAGAAGCUGACCAUUGCCCUCAGUGGUGAAGUAUCAUGCUUUUCUGUUAGUUAACUUUUCUUUUGCAGUGAUCUCUAAUUGCCUUUACUGCAUAGCAAGUUAAUCUAUUGAAAAUAGUAUUCAUGUCAUAUCUGUAAUUUGUUUAUACUGAAAAUCAGUUGGCUAAUAGUUCUUGUUUAUUCUUGAUGAUACAAUCUAAUCCUAAUUUGCAGGAUGUCUUCUGCUGAUAUGUGAUCCUUGGUUUCAGUCUCUUAGAUGACGAUGACUCCAGAAUUGAAGGAUCAACAAAGGUGGCAUCUGAGGCAACAGAUAUAGGAAGAUCUGCCUUUUAUCCAGAUUCUAGUUUAUCAAACACCUUUGGGUUCAAGACACAGGACAAGCAAGGCAGGAUGCACAGAUUUAACCGUGGAAACAGAGUAUGGGAGGAUCAAGAGAGAUGAACAAGAAGCAAGCCGAGCUUAAUGCAAAACUUGAUGCUGGAUUAAAACUUAUGUGAUCUGUUGUUUGAUGUGUGAUGUGAUGCUGGAAAAUUUGAGAUGUAUGAUGUAACAUCAUUCUAAUUUUGAAACUGGUUCUGUGGGCUGUUUUUAUAUGGCUCGUGUAUAAAGCUGAAUCUUGUUUGUUGGUAAUUAAUGUUGAAUUGAAAUUAGGCCCAA